AAGACUAUACUUUCAAGGAUCAUUUCUAUAGUUUGUUACUCUUCAGUAUGCAUUGGAUUUCAUUUAACCAUUAAAAU
rnacentral:snoRNA from 2 species